UCCCCGAUGGUCUAGUGGCUAUGAUUUCCGCUUGUCAAUCACACGAUUCGCUUGCGCGGGAGACCAGGGUUCGAUUCCCUGUCGAGGAG
rnacentral:tRNA from 1 species